ACCUGUGCUGAAAACGAAAUAAAGUCAACAAUUAAAAUAAAUGGCAUGUAGUUUUAUUAUAGAGUAUAUGUUAUUCUUGUUCUUGCACACAUGGUAGCUGUAUACUAACCUUGACUUUUAAAGUGCAGUCGCCUUGACAAUGGAGAUUGGUAAGUAAAGUGAUGAUAUUUUUUUUAGAUUAUUACUAAAAUUCUUUUAAAUUUUAUAUUACCGCUAAGUAGUUAUAUUUUUUUCUUUAUCCAUACCACCGGUUGUUUGUGAAUUCGUUCGCGUAUGGAUUUCCAUUUUAGUAUUUGUUUUCUUUGCUAGCUGUAACUACUACAGGUGGUACGAGUGGAUACAAAAAAAUAUUAUAAAACUGGCGUGAAUUAUAUGCAAUAUUAUUAUAAGGUGGACUUACGUGGUAUUUUUCGCGAUUACCACAGGUUAAAUUUUACUUUUUGACUAUUUCGCUUAUAAAAACGCGGGUAAAACUUUGCUUUUAAAUACGCGGAUAAAACUGCUUGGGGUCUGCUGGUAUCAUAUAAAUUUGGCUUUUAUUCUAAAUUCACAGACAGAGAUUAUUUCAAUUUUAUUUCUGGUUUAGGACUUGAAUUUUGGUCCUCAUCAUCCGUAACUAAACCAGAUGACCACGGAAUUAUGCAGCACAUAGAAAAUAGCAUUAUUUAUCGAUGAGCAAUUCAUGUGAUAUUUAAUUAUAAUUAUAAUGAAUGCAUCCUUCUAAUAAAAUAUAUGUAAGAUACCUCA
rnacentral:lncRNA from 1 species